GCAUCAGUGGUGUAGCGGUAACAUUGGGUCUUCCCAUUUGCUUACGUAAGUGAUAUUGGCCUAGCUCCGGGUUCGACUCCCGGCUGAUGCA